AAACCAGCACCUCAAGUGGUCAGGAUGAUUAUUGGGCCUAAAGCAUCCGUAGCCUGCUCUGUAAGUUUUCGGUUAAAUCUGUAUGCUCAACAUACAGGCUGCCGGGAAUACUGCAGAGCUAGGGAGUGGGAGAGGUAGACGGUACUCGGGAGGAAGUGGUAAAAUGCUUUGAUCUCUCGAUGACCACCUGUGGCGAAGGCGGUCUACCAGAACACGUCCGACGGUGAGGGAUGAAAGCUGGGGGAGCAAACCGGAUUAGAAACCCCAGUAGUCC
rnacentral:rRNA from 1 species